AGAAAAAUUACUCGCUCUAACUUAUUUUCACCCUUCUUCCUACAUUUUAUAGAUCUUAGUUACAGCAGGUCCAACAUCUCCUUGCGCCUUGAUCUGUUUUGGUAUUGGCUGGACCCGUAGACAAAUUACUAUUAUAACACAAGGCAUGAACCAUGACUUGUAGCAAAUGAAAACAUUUAGUUCAAUUUUUCUAUUAUAACACAGGGCAUGAGCCAUGGCUUAUAGCUAAUGAAAGGAUGGUUUCUGCAAUAUGCUCAAAAAAACCUCAUAAUGCUA
rnacentral:misc_RNA from 1 species